rnacentral:tRNA from 1 species
GUCCAGGUGGCGAAAUUGGUAGACGCGCUACCUUGAGGGGGUAGUGGGGGUUUCCCCGUGCUGGUUCAACUCCAGUCCUGGACA